rnacentral:rRNA from 1 species
UACGAAGGGGGCUAGCGUUGCUCGGAAUCACUGGGCGUAAAGCGCACGUAGGCGGCUUUCUAAGUCAGAGGUGAAAUCCUGGAGCUCAACUCCAGAACUGCCUUUGAUACUGGAGAGCUUGAGUUCGGGAGAGGUGAGUGGAACUGCGAGUGUAGAGGUGAAAUUCGUAGAUAUUCGCAAGAACACCAGUGGCGAAGGCGGCUCACUGGCCCGUUACUGACGCUGAGGCACGAAAGCGUGGGGAGCAAACAGG